CUCCUUCCCUUCCAUUUCUGAUCAGCAGCCCCUUCACCUCCUUCUCUCUCUAAGUUUCAAAUUUUGAAAACUCUCUCACUUCUCUCUAAGAUUUCUUCACCUAAAUCUCUCUAAACCACCAAACUUCCUUCACAAAGAUUGUUCCCCUCACUCUCCUCUUCACAACCAUACCAUUUUCAUGGUGUGAAUCAAAAAUUUCGUGUCCCUUAUCAUCCCAAACAGCCAUGGUUUUGUGGAGAGCAAAGGCUAUGGAGUUGUGUUCUUGAGCUCUCUUGAAGAAUCACACUUGCUUGCUUGUUUCCUUUGAUUUUUGGGUGUGUGCUUGCCUAAAGGUGUGUUCUUGGUGGAAAAAGGUGGAGACUUGAGCUAAAGGAGAAACCUUGAAGAUGUGUGCCUAGAGAACCGUGCACUUGAGGAUUUUGUUGGAGCAUACGUAUUAUAUUGGAGUGUGGGCUUGUGCUAAGCUCCCUAAGGUAAGCUCCUAGUUCUAGUUGACUCCUCUCUCUUGUGGCCCCACCAUGAUGGUGGGCAUUAUGGUUAUAUUGUAUGAAAGUAUAUGGUAUGAUGUAUAUGUGCAUUCAUUCACAUUCAUAUAGAUGUUAUAUGAUCUUGAUGUUAUGAUGAUGCACUGAUGAUAUAUGUUAUGAGGAUCCUGGCCAGUGAUCAUGGUAUGUAGGCUGCCUAUGACUUGACUCUGGGAGCUAUUUCAUACUGAGGUUGUGUUGACUGUCUAUGGCUUGACCCUGGAAGUCACACAUGUGUAACCGUCUAUGGCUUUGACCCUAGGGUUACACAAGGAUGAUAUGAUGAUGCUAUGUUUAUGCUGUAUGUCUGUAUUAUAUGCUUUAUAUCUGACUUGUUAUGCAGGAAGUGGGCUCAGGGG